UACGAAGGGGGCUAGCGUUGCUCGGAAUCACUGGGCGUAAAGGGUGCGUAGGCGGGUUCUUAAGUCAGAGGUGAAAUCCUGGAGCUCAACUCCAGAACUGCCUUUGAUACUGAAGAUCUUGAGUUCGGGAGAGGUGAGUGGAACUGCGAGUGUAGAGGUGAAAUUCGUAGAUAUUCGCAAGAACACCAGUGGCGAAGGCGGCUCACUGGCCCGGAACUGACGCUGAGGUGCGAAAGCGUGGGGAGCAAACAGG
rnacentral:rRNA from 1 species